AUGGCGAGGCUCAGCGCCGACCUGAUUCGGCGGAGCCCCCACUUAAGGCUGGGAGGAAUGAAGUAUUGGACUGCAUCUUGUAGUAAUUUUACAAGAGCCUACUUUCUGGACCAGUUUGAUAUGAUUGAUUUGUCGGACAACGAGAUUGUGAGGCUCGAGAAUUUCCCUUUCAUGAAUCGCCUUGGCACUCUGUUAAUCAACAACAACAAAAUAACAUGUAUCAAUCCCAACCUUGGUGAGUUUUUACCCAAGAUGCAUACUUUGGUGCUGACGAACAAUCGCCUUACAAGUCUUGCGGAGAUUGACCCCUUGGCCUCUCUUCCAAAGCUGCAAUUUCUCAGCUUACUGGAUAAUACCGUUACUAAGCAACCAGAUUACCGGUUAUAUGUGAUCCACAAACUGAAGCAUCUGCGUUUGCUGGACUUCAAGAAAGUGAAUCAACAGGAGAGACCUGAAGCAGCACAAAAGUUCCACUCAAAUGAGGCAGAGGAGGCGGCAAAGAAGGUUGCUGCCAAAGCUUAUACUCCAGUAGUAAUGGAUGCUCAAGGUACCACAGAAGACCAGGGCCCUAAAGUAGUCGCUCCAACGCCUGCACAAAUCACAGCUAUCAAGGAGAGAGCUGAAGCGGCACAAAAGUUCCACUCAAAUGAGGCAGAGGAGGCGGCAAAGAAGGUCGCUGUGAAAGCUUAUACUCCAGUAGUGAUGGAUGCUCAAGGUACCACAAAAGAUCAGGGCCCUAAAGUAGUUGCUCCAACGCCUGCACAAAUCACAGCUAUCAAGGCACUUAAAGAUGAAGAAACAUGGAAGAAGUAUGACUAUGUUGUUGCACAUCCAGAGGAGAGAACCGAAGCAGCACAAAUGUUCCACUCAAAGGAGGCAGAGGAGGCGCCAAAGAAGGUUGCUGCCAAAGCUUAUACUUCAGUAAUGAUGGAUGCUCAAGGUACCACAAAAGACCAGGGCCCUAAAGUAGUUGCUCCAGCGCCUGCACAAAUCACAGCUAUCAAGGCAUUGAGCAGUGCCCAAGUUCCUGCUGAGUACUAUGUGAUCACCAAGCCUGAUACUAACAUGGCUGAAGCAUCAGAGGAAGCUCAAGCUGAGAAGAUGGAGACAGAUGGCCAGGAACAAGAGGAUGGGGCUGAUGAGCAGAAGCGAAACGAUGAAGGCACAAUUCAAGAGGAAAUUUUUGGGGCUGAUCUAGAUGGCAUGUAUGAUAUCUUAAACGACAACAUAGAACUUUACACACACAAGUAUUUUGUGCGAGAUCCAUUCAAUUUCAUGUUCAGUAGGCGCAAAAGGCCUUUUCUUGGUAAGCAUGUUCUGCCGCCGCCCCGGAGGCAGGAACCAGGAGAUUGUGCUUAUCACGCGACGCUUGGCCUUAUGGAGUGUGCCUUUAAGGUAAUGUACGCCAAGCGUCCAGCCGGACAGACUCGUGACUUCAACAUUAGAUUAUCACACAAGCAUUUGAAGCAGAUGGUGCUCGAGUAUAUCAAAUCCAAAGAAGGCAAUGGAUUUAAUCCUAGGGAUCUGCUUGUCGUCUGUCUUCGAAUGGCGAUGCGUCACGGUGUGGUCAACGAGGAUGACUACAAUGCCGGGCGUGUAACACAGGCUAUUAGCUAUUGGAUUCUCUCUUACACGGAGCUCUCAGCCGAUCAGAUACAGGACAUCCCUACUAUGUUGCAGGAUGAGACAAAGAUGGUGCUUACAAGCUUUAGAGUUACACCUAGAUACGAGACUCUCCUACCUCAUGAGAUUUAUCGUUACGUGCCAGCAGAAGACCCGGCUUGUCAGCCGUGGACGGGCGAUAAGAAGCCGGUGCAUCGGUCACACUGUGUUGUCCUGACGAGCCCAGGCCUAGCAUACAAGGCGCUCGAGGAUUGUGCCAUGGAGGCCGAGGUCAGCAUGCCCGAGAGGUACUUCGAGUAUCUCAACAGCUACAGUGCAGGGUACGCCAUAGACGGGUGCGGCUUCAUCUUCGCUGAUAGCAUUCACGACCACCUCGUACGUGUAGCCGCCCUGCUCGGCCGCAUUGUCGCCCUCGUCGGCCCUCCAGCGGUGGUGGGACGCCGGUGGCCCACGAUAGCAUUGUCCGCCCACAGCCUGACGCUUGCUGAGGAGCCGCUCUGCUUCCUCCUACGCAGUGCGGUGGGUAGCCACGACCAGUCCUGA
rnacentral:rRNA from 1 species